CGGCGGACGGGUGAGUAAUGCAUAGGAAUCUGCCCGGUAGUGGGGGAUAACGUGGGGAAACCCACGCUAAUACCGCAUACGUCCUACGGGAGAAAGCGGGGGAUCUUCGGACUUCGCGCUAUCGGAUGAGCCUAUGUCGGAUUAGCUAGUUGGUAAGGUAACGGCUUACCAAGGCGACGAUCCGUAGCUGGUCUGAGAGGAUGAUCAGCCACACUGGGACUGAGACACGGCCCAGACUCCUACGGGAGGCAGCAGUGGGGAAUAUUGGACAAUGGGCGAAAGCCUGAUCCAGCCAUGCCGCGUGUGUGAAGAAGGCUUUCGGGUUGUAAAGCACUUUCAGCGAGGAAGAAAGCCUCUGGGUUAAUACCCCAGAGGAAGGACAUCACUCGCAGAAGAAGCACCGGCUAACUCCGUGCCAGCAGCCGCGGUAAUACGGAGGGUGCGAGCGUUAAUCGGAAUUACUGGGCGUAAAGCGCGCGUAGGUGGCUUGGCACGCCGGUUGUGAAAGCCCCGGGCUCAACCUGGGAACGGCAUCCGGAACGGCCAGGCUAGAGUGCAGGAGAGGAAGGUAGAAUUCCCGGUGUAGCGGUGAAAUGCGUA
rnacentral:rRNA from 1 species